rnacentral:rRNA from 1 species
UACGGAGGGGGCUAGCGUUGUUCGGAAUUACUGGGCGUAAAGCGCACGUAGGCGGCUUUGUAAGUUAGAGGUGAAAGCCUGGAGCUCAACUCCAGAACUGCCUUUGAGACUGCAUCGCUUGAAUCCAGGAGAGGUCAGUGGAAUUCCGAGUGUAGAGGUGAAAUUCGUAGAUAUUCGGAAGAACACCAGUGGCGAAGGCGGCUGACUGGACUGGUAUUGACGCUGAGGCGCGAAAGCGUGGGGAGCAAACAGGAUUAGAUACCCUGGUAGUCCACGCCGUAAACGAUGAUAACUAGCUGUCCGGGCACUUGGUGCUUGGGUGGCGCAGCUAACGCAUUAAGUUAUCCGCCUGGGGAGUACGGCCGCAAGGUUAAAACUC